rfam:Oryza rufipogon genomic scaffold, chr09
AAAAAAAACAAACCCUGGUUUCCGUGCCCAACAUUUGACCGUCCGUCUUAUUUAAAAAAAUUAUGAAAAAAAUUUAAAAAGAUAAGUCACACAUAAAGUAUUAAUCAUGUUUUAUCAUCUAACAACAAUUAAAAUAAUAAUUAUAAAAAAAUUUCAUAUAAGACGGACAGUCAAACGUUGGCACGAAAACCCAGGGUUUGCCUUUUU